rnacentral:rRNA from 1 species
CAGCCGCCCACGGUAAUACGUAGGGUGCAAGCGUUAAUCGGAAUUACUGGGCGUAAAGCGUGCGCAGGCGGUUAUAUAAGACAGAUGUGAAAUCCCCGGGCUCAACCUGGGAACUGCAUUUGUGACUGUAUAGCUAGAGUACGGCAGAGGGGGAUGGAAUUCCGCGUGUAGCAGUGAAAUGCGUAGAUAUGCGGAGGAACACCGAUGGCGAAGGCAAUCCCCUGGGCCUGUACUGACGCUCAUGCACGAAAGCGUGGGGAGCAAACAGGAUUAGAUACCCGCGUAGUCCCUGUCUCUUAUU